ensembl:lncRNA
CUCGGCUCAGACUGAGAAAGCUCAAACAGCAGCGAGGCGGAGAACGACUGCUCCAGUCCUUCGGCCUGCAGUGAAAAACGUGGACCCAAACAGACGCCAGUCGGACGUUGAAGAUGAUGUGGCCUUCACAGAGAUGGGGACAUCUCCGAGGACGAGAGGCCUGAUGGGGACGAGGACGGUCGCCGCGCUCUCGCUCCUCACAUAAACCUGCCGAACGCUGGACGCAGACAGCUCCUGGUCGUCCGGGAAGACGAACUCAAAGGUUUUACCUCUGGAGGUGCAGAUGGUCUCUGAAUCUGCAGGUAGGCCUGACUGGGAGACGUGUAGCUGCUGAAGAGCUGCAGAGUGUUUUGUCCGUCCUUAAAGGAAGCCUGAACACAAAACAACAGUUUAUCUCAUGGUGUUAAACAAUGUAAGACAUUUACCAUUUUCAUAUUGUUUAUUAUUUGAAAUGAUGACAUUUAGGUGACUCUAGAAUGUAGAAUGAAGGAAAUUUGCUGCCAGAAUGAGUAAAUCCGUUUUCCUGUUCUCUUUCUAUGCAGAUGACACACUAAUGUAUAUGUCAGAUUUAUGGAUUGAUACCGAGACUCAUCAUCUGUACUAAUUUACACAGUAAAUAGAAACAUUUUCACAAAACAUAUUUUAGUCAGAAGUAUGUUUUGUAACUUACGUCAAUGAUGAGCACUUGCGUGUCAUUCCUGAUUUCAACAUGGAGUGGUAUGACGCCAUCUGCAGGGAGGGGAAACUUCAUUUCUGUGGGAGGCAUCUCUUCUGGAAGUGGAUGCAUGGUAGAAGACUCGAAAACAUUCAGUCUGUCAGCCGCCAUGUUUUCCCCCAUGCUUGUUAUCAAACCCCACGGCGUUCGCUUCUGCUGGAUCACCGACACUUCAACAAGCUGAUCGUCGAGCGUCAGCGGCUGGUUGUUGUUUGCCGUACGUGUACCUGAAGACAGAAACCAUGGAUAAUGUUUCCAUAUGUAUCCACAGACAGGACAAAGAGGAGGAGUGAAGGUCUCACUUUGCGGUGACGGAGCCCUGCAGCGUGUCCUCAUGGUAAAACACCUCUGGAGCUCUGAUCUCAACCUCG